UCCGAGUUGUCCCCGGCAGUCUCCUAUGAGUCCCCGACUUAAUGCUGGCAACUAAGGGCAAGGGUUGCGCUCGUUACGGGACUUAACCCAACAUCUCACAACACGAGCUGACGACAGCCAUGCAGCACCUGUCUCUGAGUUCCUUUCGGCACCCCUAAAUCUCUUCAGGGUUCUCAGGAUGUCAAGAGUAGGUAAGGUUCUUCGCGUUGCAUCGAAUUAAACCACAUGCUCCACCGCUUGUGCGGGCCCCCGUCAAUUCCUUUGAGUUUCAACCUUGCGGCCGUACUUCCCAGGCGGAGAACUUAUCGCGUUAGCUUCGACACCAAAUGGUUCCCCAUCCAACAUCUAGUUCUCAUCGUUUACAGCGUGGACUAC
rnacentral:misc_RNA from 1 species